GACGAACGCUGGCGGCGUGCUUAACACAUGCAAGUCGAGCGGAAAGGCUCCUUCGGGGGUACUCGAGCGGCGAACGGGUGAGUAACACGUGAGUAAUCUGCCCUUGGCUUUGGGAUAGCCACCGGAAACGGUGAUUAAUACCGGAUACGACCACUCCUGGCAUCAGGUGGUGGUGGAAAGUUUUUCGGCCAGGGAUGUGCUCGCGGCCUAUCAGCUUGAUGGUGGGGUAAUGGCUCACCAUGGCUUCGACGGGUAGCCGGCCUGAGAGGGUGGCCGGUCACACUGGGACUGAGACACGGCCCAGACUCCUACGGGAGGCAGCAGUGGGGAAUAUUGGACAAUGGGCGGAAGCCUGAUCCAGCAACGCCGCGUGAGGGAUGACGGCCUUCGGGUUGUAAACCUCUUUCAGCAGGGACGAAGCGCAAGUGACGGUACCUGCAGAAGAAGCACCGGCCAACUACGUGCCAGCAGCCGCCGUAAAAC
rnacentral:rRNA from 1 species